UGUCUGUGCAAUAAGAACAAUGUGUUAACUGCUGCUGUCUCAAAGCACCUUCUCAGAACCUCUCCACCAGAAUUGAUCCGGCACUCCAGCAGUGCUUGAAAGUUAUCAGGAGUAAAGAGACCUUCUGGGAUUUCAUCAGUUUCAUAUCCAGCCAGAGGUAUGUUCUGUUUUCCCAUAAGAAUCAAAAUUUCAAAUAAAGAUUUUAAGUAUUCUUUGUUUUCCUUCUCUUCAAGGGUUAAAGUUAAAAUGUCUUCACCCUGCUCUUCACUCCCUUCUUCUGCACUGGGGUUCUGAGCAUUGUUGCUGUUUAUUUCCUUAUGUUUUGGUUCCUGUUCAGAAGUUUCAUCAAUUUUUUUCUGUUUCAGUGUCCUGAUUUCAUCUUCACUCAAUUCUUUUAUUCGUUUUCUGUGUCUACUAUGUGGAUUAUUCAAAUGGCUGGUAAGAUCAAAUAUUGUUGGCAUUGCAUUAUCUCGAAGAACUGUCCUAUAAGGACUCUCCCAAUGACUUCACAUGUAUUUGCUUCAAGUAAUUUUGAGAAAUACAAUAACCCAAUCAUUCUUUAGUUUUCUGAUGCCUCUGCAAAAUGUAUAGUUCUACAGAUCGUAGACGUCUCAAAGUGUUUGGCACACAAUCAGUAAUGUUUAUUUAGUUUAUCAGGUGUUUUAUCUUCUAAGUCUGCUCUCCUACAAUUCUCCACCGACUUCUGGCAACUGGCUGGAUCCCAUGGGAACCUGAAAAAGGCCAGGUCCGACUGCGUGCUCUUCCGCGUGCAGUUGGGGGCCCGCGCAGAAGUUCCGCAUCGUAGUCUGCCAGCCGGCUGGCCCAGCCCUCACAGCCCUCGCGCUGCCGCUGCUGGUGCACCUCCCGCCCGCCCAGGACGCUGCCGCCUCCUUACCACCCGCAUUGGCCCUUAUGUCUUGCAAACUUCUCUCCAUACAUUGGCUGGUUCUGAUGGUGCUGACCACAGCACGAGGCCUCUGGGAGCUGAGGGAAUUCCCCCGUUGUGCUGGGUUCUGGCUCGCCUGCAUUCCUUGCCUUCCUCUGGUGCUGCCCUGGCUCAGGGUUCGGCCACCAUAGAAGAAGUCUGAUUAUGCUGAGACUACCAGACUCUUAAGGAAGCCUAAGUGAGCCACUUGAAGAUGUCACAUGAAGGAGGAUCAAAGUGCUUUGAUUGACAGCCCCACAUGAAAUCCCAGCCUCCAGGCAGCACCAUCUGCCACUGUCCUGGAAAUUACGAAUCAGUUGCGCCUCCAGUGAGCCGUCUUGGACAUUCCAGACCAGUUGAGCCUCCAGAUGACUGCAGCCACAGCUCAACCCACGUAAGGAAGAACCCAGGAAAUGUUUUCCACCUGCCUUAAGAACAGUAGCAAUAUCACUGACCCCAUGAAAAUGAGAAGACACAAAUUAGCUGAAGAAGCAUCAGCAUGUUUUUAAAAAUUCACAGGAUUAGGAAGUUCCCCACACCCUCUCAUCAAGAACAGUGAUGCCAGAGUGGUCCAUCUGGUGUGUCAGGCUGCAGGCUGGUACCCAGAGCCUGAGGCAAGCUGGGGAGAUCCCUAAGGACAGAAUUUAAAGCCGCACUCUGAAAACAACAGAGCAGGUGGAAACAGCCUGUUCUCCACUGAGUCUUCAGUCCUGGUAGCCAUGACCUCUUUGGUCCUCAACCCCAGGCUCAACGAGAAGAAGGAAAUAACUAUUUCUGUUGUCAGAAAUAAUAUAUGGAUAACUUUGAGUAUUAUUUUAGCUGUGGUCUGCAUUUCCGUGGUUGUUUUCUUCAUUGCAGUGCAAAGAAGAUCUAAAAAAUCAUAAAAUUGUAACAGGAGCCCCAAAUGGUUGAACCCCCUACUUCCAGGAAAAACCACCCUAUUUCACCUGAACUGUCCAACUUGACCAAUCUUACUCCAGCCUUUUAUUAUUUAAAUGCGGACAAAAAUCACAUCUCAGAAUUGUGCGGGCCUCUCACGUUGCGGAGCACAGGCUCCAGACGCGCAGGCUCAGCGGCCAUGGCUCACGGGCCCAGCCGCUCCGCGGCAUGUGGGAUCCUCCCAGACCGGGGCACAAACCCGUGUCCCCUGCAAAGGCAGGCGGACUCUCAACCAUUGCGCCACCAUGGAAGCCCGAAGUUCACAACUUUUUUAGCCAACCAAGAUCUGGCCAUAGGCAAUUACAAAGUCUUUCUGGACCUGAAACAUAGACUGCCAGAUAUUUCUCCAGCAAAGAUGGGUGUAUUCAGGAUCAGCAGAGAAUUGCAAUUUGGGAUCUGCAACCAUGGCGAGCCACAUGCAAGUCCCCACACAGCAAAAGAAGAAAAGGGGAAAAGGAAAUUGGGAGGGCUGCAGUUAACAAAGAGUCAGUGGUUUUCUUUGGCUGAGUCCUUGCCAGGAAAGGAGAGGAGACUUCUUCCUCUUGGGCUCUGCAAUGGCGCUGGGUGUGAGAGCUCCCCUUUCUGGUCUCCCAACUCUAUUUAAUGGAGGUUUCUGUUUAUUAAUUUUUUAUAGCUUUAUCUGGCUGCCCUCCCCACACCAGACUUGGAGCACAGCCUGUGCAUUGCAGUCUCUGAAAGGAAUUGCAGCAGGCCCACCCCAC